GAUGAACGCUGGCGGCGUGCUUAACACAUGCAAGUCGAACGAUGAAGCCCAGCUUGCUGGGUGGAUUAGUGGCGAACGGGUGAGUAACACGUGAGUAACCUGCCCUUGACUCUGGGAUAAGCCUGGGAAACUGGGUCUAAUACUGGAUAUGACUUCUCAUCGCAUGGUGGGGGGUGGAAAGAUUUAUUGGUCUUGGAUGGACUCGCGGCCUAUCAGCUUGUUGGUGAGGUAAUGGCUCACCAAGGCGACGACGGGUAGCCGGCCUGAGAGGGUGACCGGCCACACUGGGACUGAGACACGGCCCAGACUCCUACGGGAGGCAGCAGUGGGGAAUAUUGCACAAUGGGCGCAAGCCUGAUGCAGCGACGCCGCGUGAGGGAUGACGGCCUUCGGGUUGUAAACCUCUUUCAGUAGGGAAGAAGCGAGAGUGACGGUACCUGCAGAAGAAGCGCCGGCUAACUACGUGCCAGCAGCCGCGGUAAUACGUAGGGCGCGAGCGUUAUCCGGAAAUAUUGGGCGUAAAGAGCUCGUAGCGGUUUGUCGCGUCUGCCGUGAAAGUCCGGGGCUUAACUCCGGAUCUGCGGUGGGUACGGGCAGACUAGAGUGCAGUAGGGGAGACUGGAAUUCCUGGUGUAGCGGUGAAAUGCGCAGAUAUCAGGAGGAACACCGAUGGCGAAGGCAGGUCUCUGGGCUGUAACUGACGCUGAGGAGCGAAAGCAUGGGGAGCGAACAGGAUUAGAUACCCUGGUAGUCCAUGCCGUAAACGUUGGGCACUAGGUGUGGGGGACAUUCCACGUUUUCCGCGCCGUAGCUAACGCAUUAAGUGCCCCGCCUGGGGAGUACGGCCGCAAGGCUAAAACUCAAAGGAAUUGACGGGGGCCCGCACAAGCGGCGGAGCAUGCGGAUUAAUUCGAUGCAACGCGAAGAACCUUACCAAGGCUUGACAUGUUCCUGAUCGCCGUAGAGAUACGGUUUCCCCUUUGGGGCAGGUUCACAGGUGGUGCAUGGUUGUCGUCAGCUCGUGUCGUGAGAUGUUGGGUUAAGUCCCGCAACGAGCGCAACCCUCGUUCCAUGUUGCCAGCACUUCGGGUGGGGACUCAUGGGAGACUGCCGGGGUCAACUCGGAGGAAGGUGGGGACGACGUCAAAUCAUCAUGCCCCUUAUGUCUUGGGCUUCACGCAUGCUACAAUGGCCGGUACAAUGGGUUGCGAUACUGUGAGGUGGAGCUAAUCCCAAAAAGCCGGUCUCAGUUCGGAUUGGGGUCUGCAACUCGACCCCAUGAAGUCGGAGUCGCUAGUAAUCGCAGAUCAGCAACGCUGCGGUGAAUACGUUCCCGGGCCU
rnacentral:rRNA from 1 species